rnacentral:rRNA from 1 species
UACGUAGGUUGCGAGCGUUGUCCGGAUUUAUUGGGCGUAAAGCGCGCGCAGGCGGUCCUGCAAGUCCACGGUGAAAGCUCCCGGCCCAACUGGGAGAGGCCCGUGGAAACUGCAGGACUUGAAGGCGGGAGAGGCAGAUGGAAUUUCCGGUGUAGCGGUAAAAUGCGUAGAUACCGGAAGGAACACCAGUGGCGAAAGCGAUCUGCUGGCCCGCCCUUGACGCUCAGGCGCGAAAGCUAGGGUAGCGACCGGGAUUAGAUACCCCGUUAGUCCUAGCCGUAAACGAUGGUCACUAGGUGUUGUCGGUAUCGACCCCGGCAGUGCCGUAGCUAACGCAUUAAGUGACCCGCCUGGGGAGUACGACCGCAAGGUUA